rnacentral:rRNA from 1 species
UGAGGAAUAUUGGUCAAUGGACGCAAGUCUGAACCAGCCAAGUAGCGUGCAGGAUGACGGCCCUCUGGGUUGUAAACUGCUUUUAGUUGGGAAUAAAAAGAGGGACGUGUCCCUUAUUGUAUGUACCAUCAGAAAAAGGACCGGCUAAUUCCGUGCCAGCAGCCGCGGUAAUACGGAAGGUCCAGGCGUUAUCCGGAUUUAUUGGGUUUAAAGGGAGCGCAGGCGGCGGCGUAAGUCAGUUGUGAAAUCGUGCGGCUUAACCGUGCAAUUGCAGUUGAUACUGCGUCGCUUGAGUGCACACAGGGAUGUUGGAAUUCAUGGUGUAGCGGUGAAAUGCUUAGAUAUCAUGAAGAACUCCGAUCGCGAAGGCAUAUGUCCGGAGUGCAACUGACGCUGAGGC